rnacentral:rRNA from 2 species
AGAGUUUGAUCCUGGCUCAGGAUGAACGCUGGCGGCGUGCCUAAUACAUGCAAGUCGAGCGAACGGACGAGAAGCUUGCUUCUCUGAUGUUAGCGGCGGACGGGUGAGUAACACGUGGAUAACCUACCUAUAAGACUGGGAUAACUUCGGGAAACCGGAGCUAAUACCGGAUAAUAUUUUGAACCGCAUGGUUCAAAAGUGAAAGACGGUCUUGCUGUCACUUAUAGAUGGAUCCGCGCUGCAUUAGCUAGUUGGUAAGGUAACGGCUUACCAAGGCAACGAUGCAUAGCCGACCUGAGAGGGUGAUCGGCCACACUGGAACUGAGACACGGUCCAGACUCCUACGGGAGGCAGCAGUAGGGAAUCUUCCGCAAUGGGCGAAAGCCUGACGGAGCAACGCCGCGUGAGUGAUGAAGGUCUUCGGAUCGUAAAACUCUGUUAUUAGGGAAGAACAUAUGUGUAAGUAACUGUGCACAUCUUGACGGUACCUAAUCAGAAAGCCACGGCUAACUACGUGCCAGCAGCCGCGGUAAUACGUAGGUGGCAAGCGUUAUCCGGAAUUAUUGGGCGUAAAGCGCGCGUAGGCGGUUUUUUAAGUCUGAUGUGAAAGCCCACGGCUCAACCGUGGAGGGUCAUUGGAAACUGGAAAACUUGAGUGCAGAAGAGGAAAGUGGAAUUCCAUGUGUAGCGGUGAAAUGCGCAGAGAUAUGGAGGAACACCAGUGGCGAAGGCGACUUUCUGGUCUGUAACUGACGCUGAUGUGCGAAAGCGUGGGGAUCAAACAGGAUUAGAUACCCUGGUAGUCCACGCCGUAAACGAUGAGUGCUAAGUGUUAGGGGGUUUCCGCCCCUUAGUGCUGCAGCUAACGCAUUAAGCACUCCGCCUGGGGAGUACGACCGCAAGGUUGAAACUCAAAGGAAUUGACGGGGACC